rnacentral:rRNA from 1 species
CCUACGGGUGGCAGCAGUGGGGGAUAUUGCACAAUGGGGGAAACCCUGAUGCAGCAACGCCGCGUGUGGGAAGAAGGUUUUCGGAUUGUAAACCACUGUUCUUGGUGAAGAUAAUGACGGUAACCAACGAGUAAGCUCCGGCUAACUACGUGCCAGCAGUCGCGGUAAUACGUAGGGAGCAAGCGUUAUUCGGAUUUACUGGGUGUAAAGCGUGCGUAGGCGGGAGUGCAAGUCAGACGUGAAACCCACAGGCUCAACCUGUGGACUGCGUUUGAAACUGUGGGGCUUGAGUGAAGGAGAGGUAGGCGGAAUUCCCGGUGUAGCGGUGAAAUGCGUAGAGAUCGGGAGGAACACCAGUGGCGAAGGCGGCCUACUGGGCUUUAACUGACGCUGAGGCGCGAAAGCGUGGGGAGCAAACAGGAUUAGAUACCCUAGUAGUC